GACGAACGCUGGCGGCGUGCUUAACACAUGCAAGUCGAACGGAAAGGCCCUGCUUUUGUGGGGUGCUCGAGUGGCGAACGGGUGAGUAACACGUGAGUAACCUGCCCUUGACUUUGGUAUAACUUCAGGAAACUGGGGCUAAUACCUGAUAGGAGCUCCUGCUGCAUGGUGGGGGUUGGAAAGUUUCGGCGGUUGGGGAUGGACUCGCGGCUUAUCAGCUUGUUGGUUGGGUAGUGGCUUACCAAGGCUUUGACGGGUAGCCGGCCUGAGAGGGUGACCGGCCACAUUGGGACUGAGAUACGGCCCAGACUCCUACGGGAGGCAGCAGUGGGGAAUAUUGCACAAUGGGGGGAAGCCUGAUGCAGCAACGCCGCGUGCGGGAUGACGGCCUUCGGGUUGUAAACCGCUUUCGACUGUGACGAAGCGUGAGUGACGGUAAUGGGUAAAGAAGCACCGGCUAACUACGUG
rnacentral:rRNA from 1 species